rnacentral:tRNA from 1 species
CCUCCUUUCUAAGGAUAAUAGAUAACUAGUUCGCUAGUUAUCCGGGUUGUUGCCUUCAUAUCUCUUCAUAUCGAAUAGCUAGCGCAAUGUGUACCCUAUAUCGUAAUCUGGGCUAGUAGCUCAGUUUGGUUAGAGCGCGCGCUUGAUAAGCGUGAGGUCGGAGGUUCAAAUCCUCCCUGGCCCACCAUUAUAUUUGGGGGAUUAGCUCAGCUGGGAGAGCGCCUGAUUUGCAUUCAGGAGGUCGUCGGUUCGGUCCCGAUAUCCUCCACCAAUAAAUAGCUAUGUGUCUUAUUUUGUUCUUUAAAACGUGAAUAUGAAAACUAACAAAACUGAUCAAAAUAUUUUUAAAAUUAUAAUACGUAAUACGUACAUAAAUUUUUCUCUGUACGUAAUUGCAAUCAAGCGCAAAAAGGGCAUUUUAGUGGAUGCCUUGGGCCUCAAGAAGAACGAUUAAAGGACGUGGGCAGGCUGCGAAAAACUAAGGGGAAUUGCCAACACACUUUGAAUCCCUU